AAAAUAAUUAAUUUGGAUAAUAUUUUCGGAUAAUAUUUUUGGGUUCGUACAUAUCAAUAUUUAUUAUAAAAUUCAUAUCUCAAUCGGAUAAAAUUUUGAUAUUUAUAGAAGAAAAAAAAUCAGUAAUUUUUUGGUAUUUUUUUAAAAAAAAUUCAUUUUUUUUCAUUUUUUUUAUUGCACAAAAAUUGGCUGCCAUUGGAUUGGAGAAAAAAAUCUGAUCGGAGAGCCCAGAGUGCGAUAUGUGGACUUUUAGUGGUACUGUAGCGCCUGACACUAUAGCAUCACUGUAGCACUGUAGCGGCAUUGUAGCGAUGACGUCAGCACCAAAACGAGGGCUGGAGCUCGGGCCAACCUUGCCCUCGGGCCAGCCCAGGUUGCUGGGUCCCACCUUGCGCUCGGGCCUGAGCUCUCCUCUAGAAACAGAUUUUUGUUUUUUUCUCCCCCCAGCCUUAAGCUCAGCUCCUUGCUGGAGCUGCUCUUAGGGUGGGCACUUUUGGAGGUUUUUAUUUUUUAUUUAUGCGGACUUUUGGAGUUUUUUUUUUAAUGCGGAUUUUGGAGUGAGUAUAAUAUAACGUUUUUUUUUUUUUUUUUUUAGUUUGUAUAAUAAUUUGGUUCAAUUUUAAUCAUAAUUAUAAAUAAAAAUAUUUAUACCAAACUAACCGAAUGUUUAACGGUUGAAAUUAAUUUGGAUCAUGUAUUUUGGGCCUAAACCUAAAUUGUUUUUCUUUUGCAAUUUUU
rnacentral:lncRNA from 1 species